CGCCCCCGCGCAGCCCUCCAGGACUGCUUUCAGCACCCGAGUUCCCGCUCCCUGUGGCCACUGUCUCCGCGCCGUUCCAUAACCUGGGGUCUCGACUCUUCCCGCCUCCGCCCGCCGUCCUCGGACUCAGCCUCCCGGCGCAGAGAGCUUUGAAGACAAGCGGUGGAAUUAGCUGGUUGGGGACAGUUAAUAAGAAACCUCUAGGUGAACUCCAGUCCCUCUUUCUGUCCCUGCAUCUGUCCAUCCUCCUGGAGUGACGGGCAGGGCCAACCCCGGGCCAGACUCUUCGAUAGCCCACGGUCUCUCUAGACCGCGUGGUAGUUCCCAGGCAAGGGAGCAAUUCCUGAGGCCAAGAAGACUCACGGAGGAGGCAUCACUGAGAGGAGUGGCUGGAGGGGUGGGGUAGGGGGACCGUCUUUCCAACCUGCCUGAGUGCUGCGACGCGCCAGGCAAUGCGACCAGGGCCGUCCCUGACGCCUAAAACACCUGCCAGCGCUGGUCCCAGGACUUCCUGCCUUUAAGAACAGGUUACCCCUACCCUCUCGUCUAGCUUCUGCUCUCCAGUUACCUCCUAGGAUGUCCGGGAAGGAGACCCUCUUACCUGCCGCCUAAGACCCCCAAAAGGUGUCCUGGCCGGACAGUGGGGGAGGGCAGCAGAGAACAGCCCAUCCUUUCCUCUUAGCUCCCAAGCCUUUCAGCAUUUACUUCUACUCUCACCAGCCUGGCUUCAGUGCUCUGGAAAUGUGCCCUGGCCUUCCACACCAGGCUCUCUGGAGACCCCACUGAGAAUGUGCUCUCUUCUACUCCCACCCUAUCGACACGGUCCCAGUGCUUCCCUACUCUCUAGCAGGAUACCAGAUGGCGCCAGGACAACCAUAUCUCCUGAUAACUCCUAACCCUGACUGCCAGUUUGUGGAGACAAAUGAAGAUAACUAUACAUAAGGGGCCUGGUACAGGAACUGCACAUAGAAGACACCCCCCAUUCCUCAAAUUUUUUAAUAAAAAAUAUUAAAAAUAUAGUA